rnacentral:rRNA from 1 species
UACGAAGGGAGCUAGCGUUGUUCGGAAUCACUGGGCGUAAAGCGCACGUAGGCGGUUAUGUAAGACAGAUGUGAAAUCCCCGGGCUUAACCUGGGAACUGCAUUUGUGACUGCAUAGCUAGAGUACGGUAGAGGGGGAUGGAAUUCCGCGUGUAGCAGUGAAAUGCGUAGAUAUGCGGAGGAACACCGAUGGCGAAGGCAAUCCCCUGGACCUGUACUGACGCUCAUGCACGAAAGCGUGGGGAGCAAACAGG